UUUUUUCCUCAGUGAAACUGAUCACUUUCAUAUUGUAUGAUGCUUUUUAUACACUCAAGGCACAACAAGUACACAUAGCAGAACAAAUAUUUACCAUUCCAAUGCAGUUUGUACAAUAGAA